rnacentral:rRNA from 1 species
GGGAAACAGAUGCUAAUACCGGAUAAUAACAGAUGAUGCCUAUCAAACUGUUUAAAAGAUGGUUCUGCUAUCACUCUUGGAUGGACCUGCGGUGCAUUAGCUAGUUGGUAGGGUAACGGGCCGUACCAAGGCGAUGAUGCAUAGCCCGAGUUGAGAGACUGAUCGGGCCACAUUGGGGACUGAGACACGGGCCCAAACUCCUACGGGAGGCAGCAGUAGGGAAUCUUCCACAAUGGACGCAAGUCUGAUGGAGCAAACGCCGCGUGAGUGAAGAAGGGUUUCGGCUCGUAAAAAGCUCUGUUGUUGGUGAAGAAGGACAGGGGUAGUAACUGACCCUUUGUUUGACGGUAAUCAAUUAGAAAGUCACGGGCUAACUACGUGCCAGCAGCCGCGGUAAAU